rnacentral:rRNA from 1 species
UGAGGAAUAUUGGACAAUGGAGGCAACUCUGAUCCAGCCAUGCCGCGUGAAGGAUGACUGCCCUAUGGGUUGUAAACUUCUUUUAUACAGGAAGAAACCGUUCCACGUGUGGAGCUUUGACGGUACUGUAUGAAUAAGCACCGGCUAACUCCGUGCCAGCAGCCGCGGUAAUACGGAGGGUGCAAGCGUUAUCCGGAAUCAUUGGGUUUAAAGGGUCCGUAGGCGGACUAAUAAGUCAGAGGUGAAAUCCCGCAGCUCAACUGUGGAACUGCCUUUGAAACUGUUAGUCUUGAGUUAUUGUGAAGUGGUUAGAAUAUGUAGUGUAGCGGUGAAAUGCUUAGAGAUUACAUGGAAUACCGAUUGCGAAGGCAGAUCACUAACAAUAUACUGACGCUGAUGGACGAAAGCGUGGGGAGCGAACGGGAUUAGAUACCCCGGUAGUCCACGCCGUAAACGAUGGAUACUAGCUGUUCGGAAUUUAUUCUGAGUGGCUAAGCGAAAGUGAUAAGUAUCCCACCUGGGGAGUACGUUCGCAAGAAUG